rnacentral:rRNA from 1 species
GACGAACGCUGGCGGCGUGCCUAAUACAUGCAAGUAGAACGCUGAAGAGAGGAGCUUGCUCUUCUUGGAUGAGUUGCGAACGGGUGAGUAACGCGUAGGUAACCUGCCUGGUAGCGGGGGAUAACUAUUGGAAACGAUAGCUAAUACCGCAUAAAAUUGAUUAUUGCAUGAUAAUUAAUUGAAAGAUGCAACUGCAUCACUACCAGAUGGACCUGCGUUUUAUUAGCUAGUUGGUGAGGUAACGGCUCACCAAGGCGACGAUACAUAGCCGACCUGAGAGGGUGAUCGGCCACACUGGGACGGUGACACGGCCCAGACUCCUUCGGGAGGCAGCAGUAGGGAAUCUGCGGCAAUGGGGGGAACCCUGACCGAGCAACGCCGCGUGAGUGAAGAAGGUUGUCGAAUCGUAAAGCUCUGUUGUAAGAGAAGAACGGGUGUGAGAGUGGAAAGUUCACACUGUGACGGUAUCUUACCAGAAAGGGACGGCUAACUACGUG